rnacentral:rRNA from 1 species
GACGAAUGCUGGCGGCGUGCUUAACACAUGCAAGUCGAACGGUGAAGCGCCUUCCUUUUUGGUGGGUGUGGAUGAGUGGCGAACGGGUGAGUAACACGUGAGUAACCUGCCCCCUUCUUCUGGAUAACCGCAUGAAAGUGUGGCUAAUACGGGAUAUUCUGGGUCUGUCGCAUGAUGGGUCUGGGAAAGAUAUUGUUUCGGUGGGGGAUGGGCUCGCGGCCUAUCAGCUUGUUGGUGGGGUGAUGGCCUACCAAGGCGGUGACGGGUAGCCGGCCUGAGAGGGUGGACGGUCACACUGGGACUGAGACACGGCCCAGACUCCUACGGGAGGCAGCAGUGGGGAAUAUUGCACAAUGGGCGCAAGCCUGAUGCAGCGACGCCGCGUGAGGGAUGGAGGCCUUCGGGUUGUGAACCUCUUUCGCCAGUGAAGCAGGCCUGCCUCGUUUGUGGGUGGGUUGACGGUAGCUGGAUAAGAAGCGCCGGCUAACUACGUG